AACGCACAUUGCGCCCGUCGGCAUUCCGACGGGCACGCCUGUUCGAGCGUCAUUGCACCCGUCAAGCCUCGCUUGGUGUUGGGGGACGUCGCGCCUCGCGCGACCCCCCCGGAACCCGUUGGCGGUGGCCCUUCGCCCCGAUCGUCGCGCACGUUACGACGGCGCGGGGGGACCGCCCGCCCAACCGGCCGGCAACGGCCGCACAACACGCAACGCUUGACCUCGAAUCAGGUGGGGAUACCCGCUGAACUUAA
rnacentral:misc_RNA from 1 species